GCCUCUGUGGAUUAGCGGUAGAUCGCCUCAGAUUUAUAGAUCUGUGCCUAACUGGUUUAUGGGGAGCCGUGGGUUCGAAUCCCACCAGAGGCA